CCGAGCACGCACAGCUCUACGCAGUUAGAGCGCAGCGAGCUCCAGGAAAAGGAAGCGCCCCAGAACUGUGACCGUCUUGAAAUCAUGGGCAUUCAGUGCGUUUCACCAGAAAACCUCCGGAACGAGCACUGGAAGUCAAAAGGAAAUACGCAGUUCGUAGGCUUUGACGUGUUGUAUUCCUGAGGCUGAUUAUCACAAGAGCUUUCAUGGACAUGCAUCUGUUAGUUUUUUUCCUCUACAACACGCCCAUGUGAUGUGGGGUCGAUUUGUGGUGGUCUGUGGGGGCGUGUGUAAAAUGCUCUCAUCGACCUGACAGCAGCUGGACCCGGAGAAUGUGAGCGAGACCAACCUGGAAGAUAAAGUGCUGAAGUGAAAUUGAAGUUCCCACCUGCCCAAGCUGUGCUCUAACCUUGGACUUCAGACUUAACCUAUUUUAGACAGGAGAGAAAGCAUGUGGAGCAGGGAAGGUAAAAGGAGUGAGCUUGAUGAAUAGUGCACAGAGCAACGACCCCCACGGUUUGUGAUUAAACUGUCAUCUGCAGGAAUGCUGGUCUGCGGUCUUCGGGCAUGUAAGGCUCGUCUGGGGAAGCGAGGAGGGCAUCCUGGGCUGGUCCCUGUCUUGUGCCUGCUGGUAUUCAUCUGUCUCCUUGCAGUCCUCUUCAUUGACUACAUUGAGUCCUGGAUGACUUCUCUAGGAAUGAGUAGAAUAGGAGGUGCCCAUGGAGGGGUUCUCCCUCAGAGCAUGCCUCCCACCCGCCCCGAGGAGUACCUUCUCAUGCCAAGUCCCCUGGUCUGCCAACGUGCCAAGCCAUACCUUAUCACCUUGGUGACCUCAGCCCCUGCCAACCAGAAGGCUCGGCAGGCUAUCCGUGACAGCUGGGGUGGGGAGGUUCAAGUCAGAGGCCACAGGGUUAUGACCCUGUUCAUGGUGGGUCAGGCGUCAGACCCGGCUCUGGCCAAGCAACUAGUGGACGAGGCACGCGAGCGAGGGGACUUGGUGCAGGGUCGCUUCCUGGACUCCUACACUAACUUGACUCUGAAGACGCUGUCCAUGCUGGCUUGGGCCCGGCGCUUCUGCCCACAGGCCCGCUUCCUAGCCAAAGUGGACGACGACGUGAUGUUUAACCCAAGCGCACUGUUACACUAUCUUAACGUCAACUGGGGGGGAUCAGAAAAUGAACUCACAGACCUUUAUCUUGGCCGGGUCCACAUGGGGGUGGCCCCGGACCGCAACCCGGCCAGCAAGCACUUCUUCUCCGAAGCUGCUUUCGGAGGUACGGUCUUUCCCGAUUACUGCAGCGGAACGGCGUACGUUCUUUCUCGACCUGCUGUGCUAAGGUUAUCGCUAGCAGCCGCUGCUACACCUUUACCCAAACCCUUGCCUCCUGAGGAUGUGUUUGUGGGUUUGUGUGCCCAUGCAGCAGGCAUCACUCCGACCCACUGCCCGUUCUUCUCUGGAGGACCGCCUGUGCCGUAUGGGCGCUGCUGCUACCAGGCCAUGGUGUCUGUUCACCACACUAAGCCAGAAGAAAUGCUCCGCUACUGGGCAGAUGUGCAUUCCACAGCACCAUGCUCCUGGCUGGGGGUCCGGAUCUCACUUGGCAUUUGCAAAAUGAGAGCAGUUUUGGGAAACUGGCUAAGAUCUGGGUCAUAAACAUCUGGAGAAACACCUGGAGAGCCAGCAGGAGAACGUCUGUGAACGUUUUAUGAGGUUGCCAAGUCUGAAGAAUCAUACAUGGAAUAAAAUACUAUACAAGGAGUCACUGUGCACUGUUGACAGAAACACUUGUGGAUUUUUCAGAUCUGAAGCAAGAGUGGAGCUGGAUUUUUUUUUUCCAUGUCUCUCCAAGCUUCAAGUACUGUUUAUCUGAUGGUCUUUUGGUGGUCUGACAGGUCUUGUGCGAUUUUCUCUAUAUCUGCAAUUGUUAAACUCCAGUUUUGCCAAAACUCUUUUUUUUCACAGAUGUUUUUUUUUUUUUACUUUCCCACUUUGUUAUGCAACUCAAUCAUCUUACAUCUAAUGUUUUUAGAUAAUCUCCUGAAUAAUAAAUAACUUACAUUUAAUGGCUGCUUGACUGGAAAUGAAAUUAAUUAAAAAGGUGAAAUUAAUUAAAAAGGAAGGGUGGACUUUUGCACUGUACUGUAUUUGUAUUCACUAUUCCCUGAGCACGUCUCUGUAGGUCAAAACGCUGAAAAAAUGUCAAAAGUAUAAUCCACAUAGCUCACCACUACUCAGUGUUAGCUGUAAACAGCAGUCUGCAUCAGCCCUAACAUUCUACAUGUUAAAUGUUCUACAAGUAGCAGCAAAACUGACGGUCAUCGUUUUCCAAAACGUUAUGUUUAACCUUCCAGUUGAAGUUGUGCUUACUCACUGUAUACUCAAAAUGCUCUUGACAAAUGACUGAUUAAGAUAUUUGUAUGUAUUUUGUACAUCGUCAGUGUUGGAACAAAAUCUCACCAAAACAGUAAUUUACCUUCCAAUGUAAGUAAAUGUACAAACAUUUUAUUCAGAGUCAUUUUGGACCAUUUCUAUUGGUCUGUUCACCAUGAAAUUUGAACACAGUGGAAACAGCAACUGGCAUUCUCAAAUUAUGCAACAAAAAAAGAAAAUACAGAGUUUGUUCCGACUGUGACGAUAUGUUACUUCUUUGUAACAAAGCUUUUUUGCAAAUGAAGAAUGCCUCGCAACGAGAGUGCAAUGGACUGUUCAAAACGGGACGUGUUAAACUUAAAUUACCUCAUUUUUGAACGUGGUCUUCCUUGGAUGGAUGCCUUGAGGACUAGUACAUGAUGUCUAGGCUGUUUAUGGCACCAUUUUUUUUUCCAUUUCAUUGUCAUUCAGUUUAAAUGGAACUUUCACAGUGUUCAAUACUCAAUCCCAUGAUGCUUUUAACUCCCUCACUUAACCCAUCUGUGUGCUUUUAGGGCAUUCUAUCAAAUUGAACAGCUUUUAAUUCCCUGAUGCACAUUGCCAAAGGUGACAUGAACGGUAGGAUAGUGGUAUCUGAGUCUGUAAAGCAAAGCACAUUCAAGAUCAUGUUCAAGUUCUAAAAUAGGUACAAUACUGACUUAAGAAAUGCAAAGUGACCUACACUAAUUCUAUUCAGAUAAUAAGAUAUAAUUGCUCUUUGCAAUCUCUCCUUUUAUCUCAACACUCAGGUUCCCAAAGAAAGAAAAGAUGCAAACUCUCGUAAGUGCUCCUUGAAGAUUUAUGCAAAAUCUAGUUGAAUCCACAAAAAAACUAGGAAGGACAUUUUCUGUUUACUAAAGUAAAUGGAUACAGGAGCUAUGCAAAGUCAUGAAAUAGGAUGCCUCAUGGAGAAAGAGGUCAGAUUCUUAAAGGAGAACGUCUUGCUAACAUUGCUAAUAUUAAAUAGCUAAUAGAGGUAAUUUAAAAUUACACAAAUGACCAUUUUUGUUAAGCAGACCAAAUAGCAAAUUGCCAGAAGGGGCUCCGGCCUGUGUUAUUUUUAGUCGUGCUGUAUGUGUUGUGUAAGUGUGAUGUCUAGCGAGUGAACUGUGAAUAAUCAACAGGUCAUCAUGUUGAAACUCAUCUCGGAUAGGUAGCACAGUGUGCGGAAAAGCUGUGUUCAGAAUGCCUGUGAAGCAGUCCAGCAGGAGCUAGACUGAUGCUGCACUGACGUGCAAGUCUACACUCAGCCUUCUCUCUGCGUGACCUUAAGGCAAUGUCACACUCAGCCAUGCACACUCUGCUAACAGACCAUGAAAGGCCACUGGAGGUCAAUUAGCAUAGCGUAAAUAAGAGGAGUGUUAUUAUUCCAGAAAAGGAAAAGACACAGAAAUUUUGAUGUUGAAACAUGCUGUAAAUGCCAGUUCUUAAAAAAGUAAAGACAGGGUUCUUUGGUAAGGGAAAAGGGAACUUAUGGUUCUAUAUGGAACCAUUUUUUUAUGCUUAAAUGGUUCUUUGCAUGGUGAAAUGUGUUGCACGUUGUUCUACAUAGAACCUAAUGGUUCCUAACAGAAAAAGGGUUCUUUUAUUGUUACAAGCUUGGCAUCACCAUUGUUCCACCAUGCAAAGAGCCAUUUAAGAAUGAAAUGGUCCAUUAUUGAACUCAUGUUUCUAAAUAGAAGCGUUCCCUUUGCUAAAGAACCCUUGAUCUUUUUAAAAGAGUAGAUGACGAUUGUCCAAGUCCAGAUUUUUACCUGUGACUGCACGCAAGAUAGCCUUGCACUCAAAGAUAUCGCUAAUUACGGUACCUGAGACCGAGACCCGACUGAGUAAAAGUAGUCAAUAGUCAAAAUUGAUGUCAAGAUUGGGACAAGUGGAAAAAGUAAUAUGCACUUGAGUACUAGAAUGUUAGUUGUGAGCCUCCAAGACUGGAACUGCAUACACUUUAUUUGAACCUUUUCAACAGGAGAUUUAACAAGUAACUGUGGUAAAUUUGGUGCAUACAAGCAUUUCAACAUGUAUGAGGACUCUUUCUAGUUGGAUCAAUGCAAUCAUGGGAUUAUUUAGUAGGAAUAUAUGAAUAUGGUUAAUGAUUUUACUUAGAAAGCUUAAUUGUGGAACAUUUAGUCAGAGAUCAGAGAAAAAAAAAAUAGGUCAGAGUAUUAGAUGAUCUCAAAAGAUCUCAAAAGAUGUGGACCAGCGUGCUAAAAAUGGAGUGUCUAGCAGGCUCUAACGCUCACAAGGGACAUCUAUUUAUUUAUUCAUGUAUGGAUGUAUGUUUUAUGUAUUUCAACAAGCUUCUCACGGUUACAGAGAAUUAUUAGAAUGUGGUACAGAUUGUUUGCAUUUUCCCAGGUGUGGAUUAAGGCCUAGUCUUGGACUAAACUGCCGCCAGCACUGAAACCAAUUUUCAUUUCAGGCUUUGACUUAACCAGGAAACUGGUUAAACGACAGGAGAAAUAAUGUUGUGCCUAUGCCUUUAGACUAAAUUGAAAUAAGUGAUGAAAAAUAUAAAAUGUGACUGUUUAGUUUGCAUUUGCACAAUUUUUCCUUAUAUAUCUGGUACCUGUAGGUGGUGUCUGUAUGUAAGCAUUUAGCAAAGCUUAUACAGUACUGUGCAAAAGUCAGAGACCGCCCUUCAUUAAUUUAAUUUCCCACCAAAACAGCCAUUGAGGACUUACUUUUUUAAUUUAUCUAUUAAAUUAUUCAUUUUUCAGGAAAAGUGAAGGAAACAUUUAACAGAAAAUCACAACUACUAAAUACAAUAUCAGAUUUUUCAGUAUUAAGUGCACCCACUCUUUGCCUUGAUUGCAACUUCCAUUCUUUCAGGAGACUUUCAGUUUUUCAAAGAAAUCUGCAGGGAUAUUUUUCUGCAGCUCCAAAGUUCAGUCUUAGAAGUUGUUUGCAUUAUUUGCUUCUCACAAUCCAAGUAAUCCCAAACACAUUCAGAGAUGUUUAGGUUGUUGGGGUAGUCAGUCCUUUGUUCUGAGAACACCAGCAGCACUUUUCCAUUUCGCAAAUUUUCUACUUUUUUGCAGUUUCUUUUUGUCAGUUAUAGCUUCUUGACAGCAACACAUACUUUCAGACUCAUAGCAUUUAGUUGUUGUCUCACAGUGCAAGAAUGAACAGAAACACCUGUGGAAUCUCAGAAAUGAAUACCUUGUAGAUAAUGGCCGUUAUGACUGCAAAGUAAAUAAAUGUAGGGUGAUCUUUGACUUUUGCACUGUACUGUAGCAUCCAGCAUGGUUCCAAUUUAACCUACACUAGAACAGUUUCCAACAGUUUGGCAUUUAUGGCCUGUCUGAACUUUUCCUUACAUGUAGCCUUGAACCUCAGACCCCAGCUGAAGUAGAGUGUAUAAUGCCCCUCUUGGUUAAUCACUCCUUUAUCACAGUAGCUCUAGAACACUGGCUCAGAACUGCAUACUUUCUGAGGAUGUCUUUAGGUUCCAGUUAUGUUGAUGUGCAAUGUGUGUCUUUAAUAAGAGCUCAUACAUGAACGUGUGUUAUCUGCUCUGUACAACAUGGACGUGUCAGACAUGUAACAUCCCCAAUAAAGCACAAAAUUCCAUUGGUGU